ensembl:lncRNA
GUAGGAGGUGCUGUAGACGGCCCCAUCUCUCCAGUAGGAGGUGCUGUAGACGGCCCCAUCUCUCCAGUAGGAGGUGCUGUAGACGGCCCCAUCUCUCCAGUAGGAGGUGCUGCCCAGAACUAUUGCUUUUUGCUGAUAGUGGAUAUUACCUUGAACAUAUUUUAUACAAGGUUGGUCUAUGUUGAAAAUUGGUUACCAUGAUGACAUAAUCCUGUGGUUGUAACUUUACUGUAAAACAUCUCAUGCCAAAAUCAUGGUGAUUAAUAUGGAGUUGGUCCCCCUUUUGCUACUAUAUCAGCAUCCACUCUUCUGGGACAGCUUCCCGCUAGAUGUUGGAACAUUUCUGCGGGGACUUGCUUCCAUUCAGCCAUAAGAACAUUAGUGAGGUCAGGAACUGGUGUUGGGCGAUUAGACCUGACUCGCAGUUGCCGUUCCAAUUCAUCCCAAAGGUGUUCGAUGGGGUUGGGGUCAGGGCUCUGUGCAGGCCAGUCAAGUUCUUCUCAAAAAACCAUUUCUGUAUGGACCUCGCUUUGUGCACGGGGGCAUUGUCAUGAUGAAACAGGAAAGGGCCUUCCCCAAACCAUUGCCACAAAGCUGGAAGCACAGAAUUAUCUAGUGUGUCAUUGUAUGCUGUAGCGUUAAUAUUUCUCUUCACUGGAACUAAAAGGAGCCUAGCCCGAACCAUGAAAAUCAGCCCCAGAACAUUAUUCAUCCUCCACCAAACUUUACAGUUGACACUAUGCAUUGGGGCAGGUAGUGUUCUCCUGGCAUUAGCCAAGUCCAGAUGGUGAAAGGUGAUUCAUCAUUCAAGAGAACGUGUUUCCACCGCUGAUGUUGCUUCCAUAGGUAGUUUGGCACUCGGUAGUGAGGGUUACAACAGAGGACAGACGCGCUACGGGCUUCAGCACUCCCGUUCUGUGAGCUUGUGUGGUCUACCACUUCCGUUGUUGCUCCUAGACGUUUCC